rnacentral:tRNA from 1 species
UCUCUGGUGGCUCAGACGGUAAAGCGUCUGCCUGCAAUGCCGGAGACCUGGGUUCGAUUCCUGGGUUGGGAA